GAAAAAUCCUGCCCUCAUGGAACUUAGUAGUUUAUUGUGAAGACAGGAAUUUGAAAAUACAUAAAUAAAUUCAUAAUAAUAUCAUAUGGUAAUCGAUAGUAUGCAUGUGUGUGUGUGUGUGUGUGUGUGCAGGAAACGGGAGCAUUGCUGUUUUA
rnacentral:sRNA from 1 species